rnacentral:rRNA from 1 species
CCUACGGGAGGCAGCAGUGGGGAAUCUUGGACAAUGGGCGCAAGCCUGAUCCAGCCAUGCCGCGUGAGUGAAGAAGGUCUUCGGAUUGUAAAGCUCUUUUACCAGGGACGAUAAUGACGGUACCUGGAGAAUAAGCCCCGGCAAACUUCGUGCCAGCAGCCGCGGUAAUACGAAGGGGGCUAGCGUUGUUCGGAAUUACUGGGCGUAAAGCGCACGUAGGCGGGUCGUUAAGUCAGGGGUGAAAUCCCGGAGCUCAACUCCGGAACUGCCUUUGAUACUGGCGAUCUAGAGAUCGGAAGAGGUUAGUGGAAUUCCCAGUGUAGAGGUGAAAUUCGUAGAUAUUGGGAAGAACACCAGUGGCGAAGGCGGCUAACUGGUCCGAUACUGACGCUGAGGUGCGAAAGCGUGGGGAGCAAACAGGAUUAGAUACCCGUGGUAGUCCACGCCGUAAACUAUGGAAGCUAGCCGUCAGUACAGCUGCUGUAGUGGUGGCGGCGACGCGUACGACAUAAGUACUCCCGUCCGUCGGGUAGGUACGGUCGCGAGAAGUUAAACGUACAAUAGAAGUUAAGUACGGUCGUUGAGACGUUGCCGAACGGACGACGACGAGGGAGGAGG